ensembl:lncRNA
GCUGCUCGUCCGCUUUCGCACCUCACACCCGAAGCCCUGCUGUUCCCAUGACGACGAGCUGAAGAGCCGAUGGGCUUUGUGCUGAAGACCAAAAAAAAACAAACCCAAAAGAACUUUCAAUUCAUUUGUCCUGCUUGUUUAAACAGCUCAGAGAGAGCCAGGAAUUAGACCGAUCCCACUGCCAGAACCACAGUGGUCCUCUUUGUUUCCAAAUAAGAAUCUUUCAGAGGCGCAUUUGAAGAAAGAACUGACCGGUAAUAGAAAAUAAUGAUUUAGUUAUUUAGUUAGCAUCACUUUGGAGACCAGUAAUGAUCAUGGAGGAGGAGGAGGACGGCGUGACUGUAAACGAACAGCAGGAAACUCUUCGUACUAAAGAUGUGAAUCGGCCCCGUAAACCUGGAGCAGGAAAACCCCCUCAGAGUCCGUCUUUAUUCUUCGGGAUUUUAUCAGCAGCUUAGCUGUCGCCAUGGUUACCAGCAGAGAAGUCCCCAAAACACAGAAUGAGAAAGUGAAAGAGAAACGUGAUGAAUCAUUGGAAAUUCCCAGGAAAACAAAUUCCGAGACCAGAGAAGAAAUACACAUCUUUUUAAUAAAAGCACAGUGUGAAAAACAAAUGGAAACAUUGAUGGUGGAGGAACAGAGUACCGAACCAGCUGAAACUCUCUUCUUCUGGUUGUUUAAAACGCAGCGGAGUCACAUGGGAACGUUUGACAAGAGUCAAAGGGACAAACGCGAGGCCCACAGCUGAUCACGUCUUUGAUCCACAGAAACGGAGAACAACUGAUGUUCAUGUGCCGGCAUUGUGUAAAGAGACUACAUGCGCGCGUCAUUAUAGUGUCGUACUGAUCAUUCAUCUUAUUAAAGUCAAUGCAACCUCUGCCGUCUGCUGUCAGCUACGUCAUGAAGCAGUGUGGUUUUGUGCCAUGGAAGUGGUCCUGCAAUGAUGCAACCAUGUGCUGAAUUACACAUUUUGGAUAUUGUAGCCAGCGGAGGAGUCAAAAGUAUUCACAUUCACUACUCAAGUAGAAGUGUAGACACCAGGUGUUAAAAAGACUUCUGUAAGAGUUGAAGAAUCAACUUAAAAAGUACGGGUUUCAAAACUACUUAAAAAGUAAAAGUAAUGCAAGAGGGGAAAAAAAUCCAUUAAGGACAAACUCUUAAAGUGUAACAGAACA